UACGGAGGGGGCUAGCGUUGUUCGGAAUUACUGGGCGUAAAGCGCACGUAGGCGGCUUUUUAAGUCAGGGGUGAAAUCCUGGAGCUCAACUCCAGAACUGCCUUUGAUACUGAGAAGCUUGAGUCCGGGAGAGGUGAGUGGAACUGCGAGUGUAGAGGUGAAAUUCGUAGAUAUUCGCAAGAACACCAGUGGCGAAGGCGGCUCACUGGCCCGGUACUGACGCUGAGGUGCGAAAGCGUGGGGAGCAAAC
rnacentral:rRNA from 1 species